rnacentral:rRNA from 1 species
UUGGUGGGAGGGGCCCACGGAGAUCUUACGAGUUUCAACUCCCAACCCAAUGUGAACGUUACCAAACUGUUGCCUCGGCGGGGUCACGCCCCGGGUGCGUCGCAGCCCCGGAACCAGGCGCCCGCCGGAGGAACCAACCAAACUCUUUCUGUAGUCCCCUCGCGGACGUAUUUCUUUACAGCUCUGAGCAAAAAUUCAAAAUGAAUCAAAACUUUCAACAACGGAUCUCUUGGUUCUGGCAUCGAUGAAGAACGCAGCGAAAUGCGAUAAGUAAUGUGAAUUGCAGAAUUCAGUGAAUCAUCGAAUCUUUGAACGCACAUUGCGCCCGCCAGUAUUCUGGCGGGCAUGCCUGUCCGAGCGUCAUUUCAACCCUCGAACCCCUCCGGGGGAUCGGCGUUGGGGAUCGGGACCCCUCACACGGGUGCCGGCCCCUAAAUACAGUGGCGGUCUCGCCGCAGCCUCUCCUGCGCAGUAGUUUGCACAACUCGCACCGGGAGCGCGGCGCGUCCACGUCCGUAAAACACCCAACUUUCUGAAAUGUUGACCUCGGAUCAGGUAGGAAUACCCGCUGAACUUAAGCAUAUCAAUUAAGCGGAGGAA